CCAAUAGCGUAUAUUAAAGUUGUUGCAGUUAAAAAGCUCGUAGUUGAAUUUCGAGAUCGGUUUAUUGGUCGUGCUAUUGUACGUACUGGUAUUACCGGUUUCUCCUUUCUGACGAACCUUAAUGCCAUUAAUUUGGUGUUUUGGGAAAUCAGGACUGUUACUUUGAAAAAAUUAGAGUGUUUAAAGCAGGCUUACGCUUGAAUACAUUAGCAUGGAAUAACGGAAUAGGACGUUUGAUUCUAUUUUGUUGGUUUCUAGGAUCGACGUAAUGAUUAAUAGGGAUAGUUGGGGGCAUUAGUAUUCAAUUGUCAGAGGUGAAAUUCUUGGAUUUAUUGAAGACUAACUACUGCGAAAGCAUUUGCCAAGGAUGUUUUCAUUAAUCAAGAACGAAAGUUAGGGGAUCGAAGACGAUCAGAUACCGUCGUAGUCUUAACCAUAAACUAUGCCGACUAGGGAUCGGAUGAUGUUAAUUUUUUAAUGACUCAUUCGGCGCCUUACG
rnacentral:rRNA from 1 species